UCCAGGAAGAACCAGAGCAAAAUGGUGGAUUGGUUACAAUGGUGAUACAUUCAUGUGAAGUAAUUAUUAACUUUAGAUAAUAUAUAUGCCUAUUAUAAUUAGUUCAGUAACUAGUUCACAUGAAGAAGAGAACAGAACAUUGCAGUUUCCAUUUCCAUCAGAUAAAGAGGGACAAGGAGAGGAAAGGGGAGAGUGGGGUGUGGUAAUCAAUGUUUAAAACCAACAGCCCAUCCCUCUCUUCCUCACUCCCUCCUCUCUCUUUCUCUGACUGUCCACCUCCUCGCACAACUUCGUCACCAUGUCACAGGUCCAGCAGGGUAUGGCAUUGCUCAUCUCAGCCUUCCACAAGUACUCUGGCAAGGAGGGCGACAAGACGACCCUGAGCAAGGGAGAACUCAAAGAUCUGCUCAACGCUGAGCUUGGAGAGAUCAUGGGG